AAUGCCUUUAUAAUGUGAAGUCCUUAAUAGGAAAUUAGGCCAUUAUUCAAGAUAGUGGAUGACAUUAUGCUUAUAAAUUAUAGUUUUUAUAUUAUGUAUAAAGGUUAUAAUAAUAUAUUAUAUUAUAAAGUUAAUAUAUUAAAAGACAAACAAAUUAAAAGCCACACUUUUCAUCUUAUUUUGACCGAAACUAGAGAAAAGAAAAAGAAAGAAACCUAAGCUAGGUUCGGCCAUCUUUUGAAGCUUAAUUCAAGAUCAAGAAACGAAGAAAACGAAUUUGGAUCGGGGAAAAACGAAAGUAAUCGAAUAGUCGAUCGUGUCCGCUGAUAUCCGAGGUUCUGUACCUAGCAGGCUUUAUGCCAGUGAAUUUUUCAGACUUUAAGUCUAGCAGGCUACGUGCCGGUGAUCUGAAUCAGGUUAUAAACCUAGCAGGCUACGUGCCGGUGAUCUGAAUCAGGCUAUAAGCCUAGCAGGCUAAGUGCCGUUGAAUCUGUUUAAAUUAAGUGAUUCUAUGUAUUGAGUAUAAAUAUAUAUGAUUUUGUUUAUAUGAAAUGGAUAAGUUUAUGAACAUUGUAUCAAUGUGGUUGAUGAUUAUAUAAUCGUUCGAAUAUUUGUGAA